rnacentral:rRNA from 1 species
AGGGCACCACCAGGAGUGGAGCCUGCGGCUUAAUUUGACUCAACACGGGAAAACUCACCCGGCCCGGACACUGGAAGGAUUGACAGAUUGAGAGCUCUUUCUUGAUUCAGUGGGUGGUGGUGCAUGGCCGUUCUUAGUUGGUGGAGUGAUUUGUCCGGUUAAUUCCGAUAACGAACGAGACUCUAGCCUACUAAAUAGAUCGUCGGCUUACAAACGCCGGCGAGACUUCUUAGAGGGACAGGCGGUGAUUCAACCGCACGAAACAGAGCAAUAACAGGUCUGUGAUGCCCUUAGAUGUCCGGGGCCGCACGCGCGCUACACUGAAGUGAUCAGCGUGCUUUUUCAACCUACUCUGUCAAGAGUGGGGAACCCAAUGAACCUUCUUCGUGAUUGGGAUAGGGGAUUGUAAUUAUUCCCCUUGAACGAGGAAUUCCCAGUAAGCGCGAGUCAUAAGCUCGCGUUGAUUACGUCCCUGCCCUUUGUACACACCGCCCGUCGCUACUACCGAUUGAAUGUUUU